UGGCUCAGAUUGAACGCUGGCGGUAGGCUUAACACAUGCAAGUCGUGCGAGAAAGUAUCUUCGGAUAUGAGUAGAGCGGCGGACGGGUGAGUAACGCGUAGGAAUCUACCUAGUAGAAGGGGAUAGCCCGGGGAAACCCGGAUUAAUACCGUAUACCUCCUUCGGGAGAAAGAAGGCCUCUCUUUGAAGCUUUCGCUACUAGAUGAGCCUGCGUAAGAUUAGCUUGUUGGUGAGGUAAAGGCUCACCAAGGCGACGAUCUUUAGCUGGUCUGAGAGGACGAUCAGCCACAUUGGGACUGAGACACGGCCCAGACUCCUACGGGAGGCAGCAGUGGGGAAUAUUGGACAAUGGGCGCAAGCCUGAUCCAGCCAUACCGCGUGUGUGAAGAAGGCCUUCGGGUUGUAAAGCACUUUAAGCAGGGAGAAAAAGUUAUAAGUUAAUACCUUAUAACCCUGAUGUUACCUGCAGAAUAAGCACCGGCUAAUUCCGUGCCAGCAGCCGCGGUAAUACGAAGGGACCUAGCGUAGUUCGGAUUUACUGGGCUUAAAGAGUUCGUAGGUGGUUGAAAAAGUUGAUGGUGAAAUCCCAGAGCUUAACUCUGGAACUGCCAUCAAAACUUUUCAGCUAGAGUAUGAUAGAGGAAAGCAGAAUUUCUAGUGUAGAGGUGAAAUUCGUAGAUAUUAGAAAGAAUACCAAUUGCGAAGGCAGCUUUCUGGAUCAUUACUGACACUGAGGAACGAAAGCAUGGGUAGCGAAGAGGAUUAGAUACCCUCGUAGUCCAUGCCGUAAACGAUGUGUGUUAGACGUUGGAAAUUUAUUUUCAGUGUCGCAGCGAAAGCGAUAAACACACCGCCUGGGGAGUACGACCGCAAGGUUAAAACUCAAAUGAAUUGACGGGGACCCGCACAAGUAGUGGAGCAUGUGGUUUAAUUCGAAGAUACGCGCAGAACCUUACCAACACUUGACAUGUUCGUCGCGACUCUAAGAGAUUAGAGUUUUCGGUUCGGCCGGACGAAACACAGGUGCUGCAUGGCUGUCGUCAGCUCGUGUCGUGAGAUGUUGGGUUAAGUCCCGCAACGAGCGCAACCCUCACUUUUAGUUGCCAUCAUUAAGUUGGGCACUCUGAAAGAACUGCCAGUGAUAAGCUGGAGGAAGGUGGGGAUGACGUCAAGUCCUCAUGGCCCUUACGUGUUGGGCUACACACGUGCUACAAUGG
rnacentral:rRNA from 1 species